rnacentral:rRNA from 1 species
AUUGAACGCUGGCGGAAUGCUUUACACAUGCAAGUCGAGCGGCAGCGCGGCCUUCGGGCUGGCGGCGAGCGGCGAACGGGUGAGUAAUGCAUCGGAACAUGCCCAGUCGUGGGGGAUAACACUUCGAAAGAAGUGCUAAUACCGCAUACGUCCUGAGGGGGAAAGCGGGGGAUCGCAAGACCUCGCGCGAUUGGAGUGGCCGAUGUCAGAUUAGCUAGUUGGUGGGGUAAAGGCCUACCAAGGCGACGAUCUGUAGCUGGUCUGAGAGGAUGAUCAGCCACACUGGGACUGAGACACGGCCCAGACUCCUACGGGAGGCAACAGUGGGGAAUUUUGGACAAUGGGGGCAACCCUGAUCCAGCCAUUCCGCGUGAGUGAAGAAGGCCUUCGGGUUGUAAAGCUCUUUCGGCAGGAACGAAACGGUGGGCUCUAACAUAGUCCGCUAAUGACGGUACCUGAAGAAGAAGCACCGGCUAACUACGU